rnacentral:rRNA from 1 species
AGUCGAGCGGCAGCACGGGAGCAAUCCUGGUGGCGAGUGGCGAACGGGUGAGUAAUAUAUCGGAACGUGCCCGUCGUGGGGGAUAACGCAUCGAAAGCUGUGCUAAUACCGCAUACGAUCUACGGAUGAAAGCGGGGGAUCGCAAGACCUCGCGCGAUUGGAGCGGCCGAUAUCAGAUUAGCUAGUUGGUGGGGUAAAGGCCCACCAAGGCGACGAUCUGUAGCUGGUCUGAGAGGACGACCAGCCACACUGGAACUGAGACACGGUCCAGACUCCUACGGGAGGCAGCAGUGGGGAAUUUUGGACAAUGGGCGCAAGCCUGAUCCAGCAUGCCGCGUGCAUGAUGAAGGCCUUCGGGUUGUAAACUGCUUUUGUACGGAGCGAAACGGCUCUCUCUAAUACAGGGGGCUAAUGACGGUACCGAAGAAUAAGCACCGGCUAACUACGUGCCAGCAGCCGCGGUAAUACGUAGGGUGCAAGCGUUAAUCGGAAUUACUGGGCGUAAAGCGUGCGCAGGCGGUCAUAUAAGACAGAUGUGAAAUCCCCGGGCUCAACCUGGGACCUGCAUUUGUGACUGUAUGGCUGGAGUGCGGCAGAGGGGGAUGGAAUUCCGCGUGUAGCAGUGAAAUGCGUAGAUAUGCGGAGGAACACCGAUGGCGAAGGCAAUCCCCUGGGCCUGCACUGACGCUCAUGCACGAAAGCGUGGGGAGCAAACAGGAUUAGAUACCCUGGUAGUCCACGCCCUAAACG